rnacentral:rRNA from 1 species
GACGGAGGAUGCAAGUGUUAUCCGGAAUCACUGGGCGUAAAGCGUCUGUAGGUGGUCAAAUAAGUCAACUGUUAAAUCUUGAGGCUCAACCUCAAAAUCGCAGUCGAAACUAUUAGACUAGAGUAUAGUAGGGGUAAAGGGAAUUUCCAGUGGAGCGGUGAAAUGCGUAGAUAUUGGGAGGAACACCAGUGGCGAAGGCGGUCCCCUGGGCCGGAACUGACGCUGAGGCGCGAAAGCGUGGGUAGCAAACGGG